UGUCUGUCCUUUCUGAGCAUUUUAUUACAAAUAUCUGUAAUAAUGUGGCUUGUUGUGCAGUUAUUUGUCCUGGUACUUAAACUCUGAAAAGUAUCUGA